rnacentral:rRNA from 1 species
UACGAAAGGUCCAAGCGUUACUCGGAAUUACUGGGCGUAAAGCGCGCGUAGGCGGCUUUGUAUGUCGAUUGUGAAAGCCCCGGGCUCAACCUGGGAACUGCAGUCGAAACUGCAAGCUUGAAUGUUGGAGAGGUUGGGGGAAUACCGUAGUGGAGAAGUGAAAUUCGUAAGAGAUUAGGUGGAACACCAGAGGCGAAGGCGCCUGGACUGGCCAAACAUUGACGCUGAGGCGCGAAAGCGUGGGUAGCAAACAGG